rnacentral:rRNA from 1 species
GAUGAGCGCUGGCGGCGUGCCUAAUACAUGCCAGUCGAGCGAACGGACGAGAAGCUUGCUUCUCUGAUGUUAGCGGCGGACGGGUGAGUAACACGUGGAUAACCUACCUAUAAGACUGGGAUAACUUCGGGAAACCGGAGCUAAUACCGGAUGAUAUUUUGAACCGCAUGGUUCAAAAGUGAAAGACGGUCUUGCUGUCACUUAUAGAUGGAUCCGCGCUGCAUUAGCUAGUUGGUAAGGUAACGGCUUACCAAGGCAACGAUGCAUAGCCGACCUGAGAGGGUGAUCGGCCACACUGGAACGGAGACACGGUCCAGACUCCUACGGGAGGCAGCAGUAGGGAAUCUUCCGCAAUGGGCGAAAGCCUGACGGAGCAACGCCGCGUGAGUGAUGAAGGUCUUCGGAUCGUAAAACUCUGUUAUUAGGGAAGAACAUAUGUGUAAGUAACUGUGCUCAUCUUGACGGUACCUAAUCAGAAAGCCACGGCUAACUACGUG